rnacentral:ncRNA from 1 species
AAACCGAUCCCGAAAGAGUAUCCGGAUGGAUGCCGAAGCUCGAAAGAGAUAGGGGUCGGUUCCGCA